CCUGCAAGAUCCCGGCAGCAGCGCAGAGAAGCCAGGCGAGCUGAAGUGCAUCAGCCGCUGGCAGCGACCACUCAGGCCCCAGCCCCAUUCUUGGGGCAUUUGAGGAGCCGAUGAACUGCGCCCCUCGGUGGACGGGGGAAACCCUGCAAACUCGGGCAGGCCUCCUCCUGCAGGAGGAAGCGGCUGGAGGGCUCCGCCUCGAGGAGGUGUGGCUAGGGGAGGGAGGCGGGGCGGGGCAAGGGCUAUUUGGUUUAUCAGCCGCCGCCAGGCUGAACCACGAUUCAAUGAGAUGUUCUCGCUGCGUAGAAGUGGCGCUGGAGAACUGGAUACACGUGAAGCUGCCUGACGCUUUAGUCGCCCCUUGGACGAGCUGUUGUGACUUGGCCGCGUCUCAGGUUUGACCACCAGAUGGCAUUCAUACCCCAAUAACAGUCACUCACUGCACUGAUUGGUCCAUUGUAUUUAAUUGUGGUUUUCUGCCUUGGAAGGCAUCUGAUUUGCUUCCCAGAAGUACUACCAGGUCAUGGGCCUGAUCUGUAGCUCUGUCGUCUCAGGAGAUGAAAGCAAGACCUCACAAGAUGAUGUGAACAUGCUGCUCCCAUUAAAGAUGGGUGAAGACUUAUGUGACACCUACAGGACUAACAAAUGCAUUGUGGUACAAGCUUUUGUGGGCUAGAGCCUGCUUCAUCAGAUGCAUGAAUUGUUGCUCUCAGACUGGUAUAAACAGAUACACAGAACAACAUAUAUACAGAACAACAAAUUCAAGAAGAGGGAGGCUGUGGUUACAAGUGUAGGUCUGAAGGUCCAACGGUCCAGGUGAUAGGUAUGUUACAAUAAUAUCCGAGGAACAAAUGGAAACAAGAUACAGUUAGAAUAGAAAAAGAUCCAGACAGAAUGGGUGUAGAGCACUCCCAACCGGUGAAGAAUUGGAAGAACGUGUGAAUAAUAGAAAAGCUUUUAACAGCUAAGGGAGGUGGCUGCCACUCUACAGCACUGACAGCCUGACCGACACCAGUAUAUGGAUCUGUAAAGCACUAAAUAACACCUAGUAACAACUGUUUGAAAAAUUAUAAAUGCUUCUUUCCUUUUGAACAAUUAGUUGUAGCUAACUAAGAGAAUACUCAGCAGUCCUUAAAGGAGUAUUAACAGUCUCUGUGGGUAGCCAUAGGAAAACAUAAGAGGGGGAGAGAGGUAGAGAACAGCACUACAGGACUCCCCGCUUGCAAACAAACUAAGCACUUAGUAACAACAAUGAAUAUAGUGCCAAAACAACAACUAGUAACAUCAACACACAUCUUGGAUUCUCUGUUGACUUAAAUUUUUGUAUAUUAUGGCCUUUUACUGUAUAUUUUGUCUUAAAAUUAUUUGUUGUUUUUAAUUGUUGUUAGCUGCCCUGAGCCCAUCAGGGGAGGGCGGCAUAUAAAUAUGGUAAAAUAAAAUAAAAAGAGCAGGGCUUUUUU